CUGAGCAGGCUGAGGGCUCUGUGCACCAAAUCCCAAACCUUGUUUAUAACUUUAAUGUUGGACAGUAACAGGGUCAUAAUAAUGUCUUUGACUCUUUGGGCCUAUGUAUUACAUCAAAAUUAAUACAACACCACACAGCUUCCUCUGUGUGGCUCUGCAGAAGCAAAUACAUUCAGAGAACAGUUACUGGUGACGUAACGUUUCUUUCUGAAGGCCAAAUCAUGCCUUUGGAUAUCUGUGUGCGUCCCUAAUGUCUUCAAAUGUUGCCCUUCUUACAUCUGUGGUACCCCAUUGUCUUCAAUGAUAACUGAAGACAGGCUUUUGCCCUAACAAUUCUUUCAACGAGGCAUGUGUCAGAAUAUGAGAGACAGGUCUCUUUCUCCUAGCUGUGGUGAGUAUGUACUGCUCACUGGAUGAAAAGGUAGUGAGAACUUCUGUUUGUGUCUAAAGUAAACAGCUCUGUCUCUGAAUACACAGAUCUCUUAUGUAAGGAGAUGUCAUUUUGACACAGUCACUUUUGGGAGUAGAACCCACAUUAAUGCAUGCUGUCAGAUGCUGAUGCAUGCUCUUAUGGUAUGCGUGUUGUAGCAUGAAUGGCAUAGAAAACUAUUUCAUUAUCAGGUUCAUAUGCUUUUACCUUAGCAUACAAAGGCCUGGGCUGGUUUAAGCUAGUGGAGCUGUAUAUAUAUAUAUUAAGUUCAGUAAAAGAACAUUUGCCUGAGGAGCUGGAGACUCCAGUUUAAAUCCACAAUAUGCCAAUGAUUUAUUUAUUACUCUUAUUUAAGAAAAUGUGCAGCAGUUUCCAGUUUUGAAUAUUUAACUGUGCAUAGAAAAAAUAAGCUGCUCUGAAAUGCCUUUCAUUUUAGUGCAUUAAUAUAACCAGCGCAUUCCAACCAGAAUUCACUUAGAGCAGAGAACUACGCUACAGCUUACACUGUAGCAUUGUGAUCCCAUUAUUGAGCCUGACACUUCCUUUUUAGAAGUCAUACUUCAUUUCUAUCCACUUAUGAAUGGCAGGCCCGAGCCUGUUGAGGAAAUCUUGACUUCUCUUUGAUUUUCAGUGCCACCAGCUGGGAUAAAAU
rnacentral:lncRNA from 1 species